UUGACCAAGGUGUAAAGGAGUGUUGGUGGAUAAAAGAACCAUAGAUCCUUAAGUUUUCACACUUAUCAUCUUCUUAAAAAUUCAAAACACAAACUUUCUCUCCUCCUCUACAAGCUCACGGCCAACAUUCCCUUCACUUCACCUUCAUUUUUCAAUCUAUUUCAACAUCAUCCAAGCAUAAUCUAAGGUGAUUUAAGCAUAGAUAGGAAGGUUGCAAGCAAGGAGACUUGGAGGACCAUCUUGUGGAGCUAUUACCCACCUUUUUUCUUCUUGAUCUUCCCUAGCCCGUGUGCUAGCAGUAAGCCCUCUUGAUCUUGUUUUUACACUUGAUUUUAGUAGUUAAAGUAUGUAGUAACAAGAUAAUAUAAAGAUCACACCAAAACAAGAACAUGAAGAUAAACAUAAAGCUUGAAAUCAUGAAGAUCUAAGUUGUUUAAGUGUAUGUGAUGAAUUUGUUUGUUGAUUUCUUUAAUGUAUGGUGUAGAUCACCACAUAAAGCUUGCUAGAUAAUGAUUUAAAACAUGAUCUAACAAGUAUGAGGAUGGAUCUUGAAAAAUCUAUGUUGAUCAUCCUUUAUGUUAAGUGUGAACUUGAAGGUAAACUUGAUUUUGAGUAGGAUGAGGAUUACCACAAGUUGUAAGUCUUAAAAAUAUAAGAUUUCAAAAGUGAAAGUUUCAAGAAAAUAAAGUUUACUUCAAGAUUUAACAUGACUUGGUUUUUUUGAAAGAAAGUAAACAUGUUUUAACUGUUAAAUGGAACACUUGAUGUAUGGAGAACAUGAAAAACUCAAGAUGAUGAACUUUUGUAAAAGUGAGUUACAAGUUGUAAAGAUUGAAAAUUUGUAAGAAUGAGUUUUAUGAAAUAAAAACCAUGGUUUUAGUGUUAGAAAAUUAUGUUAAACACCAUGUUAAAAUACUACAAGAUUUUAUAAAACUUCAAGUUCAUACCAUCUUGUAAAGGUGCAUGUUUAUGGCUCAUGAAAAUGAUAUGCUAAUAAGCAUGGAAACCUCCAUUUUCAAGGGAAAAUAUGGCAAAAUUUUUGUAAAAAUUCAACACUUAGAAAAAUAAUUUUAAAAAGUGUUUAGAAGUAAUUUUUGGUCAUGAUUUAGAAGUAUAUAUGCACUUUGAUGGGAAAAGACAAGAAUACCCUCAUAUAAGGUCUAUGUGAUCUAAUUUAACGAAGAAGAUUAACUAGGUUAGGGCAAAAGGAAAUAACGUGUAAUAUUUUAAAACAUUAAGUACAAGGCUCUUCAAUUUUAAAGAUAAAUGAUAUCGUCUGAAAUUAGGUAUAAAGAUAGCGGACAUAACUUACAUUUCACUCUUAACAAAAUAUUUAACUCUAGAGAGAUCAGUUCUUAAGAUAAAAAAAUGAGUGGUCCACAUUUAUUCUUAGAGUUUUUAAAUUUCCCACGUUCUCUUAAGAUUGCACCCUAUAUAUAUAACAAUUACUUGUAUCUAGAAUAAAUUUUGUACCCGAAUUUAACUUAAAGGAAGGGGUAGGAUCAAAUAAAAAGUUGAUUUUGUUUAAUUUGGAAGAAUGAAUAUUAACCUUUCAUUUUCAAAUCAAUGGUUAAAAUGAAAGUGUAGGAAAAAAGAUGGGUGUAAUUGUAUUUUUGUAAUAGUCAAUUUGUUGACUUUCUCUCUUCACAUGCUAUAUACAUACAUUAUACCCUAAUAUUUUUUAAACGUUCAUAACUUUUUUAGAUGACAUUUUUUUUUUUAAAACACGAGAUCUAAAAAAAACCCAAACAAUUGUCUUAGAUUUAUAUGUUGUAUAACAUUUUUUGUACUGGAUUUUUGUUCUGGAUUUUUUGAGCUACAAUUUUUUGUGCUGAACCUUUUGUGCUAAAUUUUUUAUACCGAAUUUUUUGUUGUACUAAUUUUUUUUAGAAGAUUUUUUGUAUUGUAUUUUAAGAAACGGGUGAGAGUUUGUGUUGUAGGACAAAAUAACCUUCCAUCCUACCUAUGACGAUACAUGUCAUUUUUAUAAUCCUUGCUAAACUAUUUAAACAAAACCUACUUUUUAAACGAUCUUUCCGGUAACUUAACUUAAUAUAUCAUUGUUGUACUAAUAUAUACUCUAGAUUGGACAUAUGCAUCGCUCAUCACCAAAAAAAUUACUAUUUGACCUAUGCAUCGCUCAUCAACAAGGAAUUAUCUAAAAGUUUUAUAAAAGGAAUAUAUAUAUUUUUUUUUAAAUUGAACUACUAGUCGGUGAUAUUUUCGUUAGUGAAACUCAGAUUCCUACUUUCCUAGCUAGUAGUGAUUUUAAACAUCAUAGUGUAGAGUUCAAAUGAGAAGAAUUUUUUU
rnacentral:lncRNA from 1 species